AACGUAGGGGGCGAGCGUUAUCCGGAUUUACUGGGCGUAAAGCGCGUGUAGGCGGCCUGGAAAGUUGGACGUGAAAGCUCCUGGCUUAACUGGGAGAGGUCGUUCGAAACUACCGGGCUUGAGGUUGGAACAGGAGCGUGGAAUUCCCGGUGUAGUGGUGGAAUGCGUAGAUAUCGGGAGGAACACCAGUGGCGAAAGCGGCGCUCUGGUCCAAGACUGACGCUGAGAUGCGAAAGCGUGGGGAGCAAACGGG
rnacentral:rRNA from 1 species